UUGAAUUUUAAUGAAGAGUUUGGUUGUAGCUGGCCCAUUCAUUUGGGCAUGUGCCACACCUUCCUCUUUCAUCCCACAACACCUGUGAACCUGUGAGACAGAGAUGGGGGAAUUUACUUGCUGCUUUUUGGAAUACAAAGGCAAUAGGUUAUUGACCCCCCCUCUGUCUACUCAAUUAAUAUAAACUCAAUUUAUUUUAAAACGAAUGUAAUGGAUGAACACAUCUCAUAC
rnacentral:misc_RNA from 1 species